GUCUACGGCCAUACCUAGGCGAAAACACCAGUUCCCGUCCGAUCACUGCAGUUAAGCGUCUGAGGGCCUCGUUAGUACUAUGGUUGGAGACAACAUGGGAAUCCGGGGUGCUGUAGGCUUCUUUUUUUUA